UGUUCGAAAGGGAAACAGCCCAGACCACCAGCUAAGGUCCCAAAAUAUAUGUUAAGUGGAAAAGGAUGUGGCGUUGCCCAGACAACUAGGAUGUUGGCUUAGAAGCAGCCAUCAUUUAAAGAGUGCGUAAUAGCUCACUAGUCGAGUGACACUGCGCCGAAAAUGUACCGGGGCUAAACAUAUUACCGAAGCUGUGGAUUGUCCUUUGGACAAUGGUAGGAGAGCGUUCUAAGGGCGUUGAAGCAUGAUCGUAAGGACAUGUGGAGCGCUUAGAAGUGAGAAUGCCGGUGUGAGUAGCGAAAGACGGGUGAGAAUCCCGUCCACCGAUUGACUAAGGUUUCCAGAGGAAGGCUCGUCCGCUCUGGGUUAGUCGGGUCCUAAGCUGAGGCCGACAGGCGUAGGCGAUGGAUAACAGGUUGAUAUUCCUGUACCACCUAUAAUCGUUUUAAUCGAUGGGGGGACGCAGUAGGAUAGGCGAAGCGUGCGAUUGGAUUGCACGUCUAAGCAGUAAGGCUGAGUAUUAGGCAAAUCCGGUACUCGUUAAGGCUGAGCUGUGAUGGGGAGAAGACAUUGUGUCUUCGAGUCGUUGAUUUCACACUGCCGAGAAAAGCCUCUAGAUAGAAAAUAGGUGCCCGUACCGCAAACCGACACAGGUAGUCAAGAUGAGAAUUCUAAGGUGAGCGAGCGAACUCUCGUUAAGGAACUCGGCAAAAUGACCCCGUAACUUCGGGAGAAGGGGUGCUCUUUAGGGUUAACGCCCAGAAGAGCCGCAGUGAAUAGGCCCAAGCGACUGUUUAUCAAAAACACAGGUCUCUGCUAAACCGUAAGGUGAUGUAUAGGGGCUGACGCCUGCCCGGUGCUGGAAGGUUAAGAGGAGUGGUUAGCUUCUGCGAAGCUACGAAUCGAAGCCCCAGUAAACGGCGGCCGUAACUAUAACGGUCCUAAGGUAGCGAAAUUCCUUGUCGGGUAAGUUCCGACCCGCACGAAAGGCGUAACGAUUUGGGCACUGUCUCAACGAGAGACUCGGUGAAAUCAUAGUACCUGUGAAGAUGCAGGUUACCCGCGACAGGACGGAAAGACCCCGUGGAGCUUUACUGUAGCCUGAUAUUGAAAUUCGGCACAGCUUGUACAGGAUAGGUAGGAGCCUUUGAAACGUGAGCGCUAGCUUACGUGGAGGCGCUGGUGGGAUACUACCCUAGCUGUGUUGGCUUUCUAACCCGCACCACUUAUCGUGGUGGGAGACAGUGUCAGGCGGGCAGUUUGACUGGGGCGGUCGCCUCCUAAAAGGUAACGGAGGCGCUCAAAGGUUCCCUCAGAAUGGUUGGAAAUCAUUCAUAGAGUGUAAAGGCAUAAGGGAGCUUGACUGCGAGACCUACAAGUCGAGCAGGGUCGAAAGACGGACUUAGUGAUCCGGUGGUUCCGCAUGGAAGGGCCAUCGCUCAACGGAUAAAAGCUACCCCGGGGAUAACAGGCUUAUCUCCCCCAAGAGUUCACAUCGACGGGGAGGUUUGGCACCUCGAUGUCGGCUCAUCGCAUCCUGGGGCUGUAGUCGGUCCCAAGGGUUGGGCUGUUCGCCCAUUAAAGCGGUACGCGAGCUGGGUUCAGAACGUCGUGAGACAGUUCGGUCCCUAUCCGUCGUGGGCGUAGGAAAUUUGAGAGGAGCUGUCCUUAGUACGAGAGGACCGGGAUGGACAUACCUCUGGUGUACCAGUUGUCGUGCCAACGGCAUAGCUGGGUAGCUAUGUGUGGACGGGAUAAGUGCUGAAAGCAUCUAAGCAUGAAGCCCCCCUCAAGAUGAGAUUUCCCAACUUCGGUUAUAAGAUCCCUCAAAGAUGAUGAGGUUAAUAGGUUCGAGGUGGAAGCAUGGUGACAUGUGGAGCUGACGAAUACUAAUCGAUCGAAGACUUAAUCAAAA
rnacentral:rRNA from 1 species